AUGCCGAGAUGUUGAGGCCUUGCCACCUCCAACGCGAAGUCGGAUGUAAGAGUUACACCGCGCCUGUGGAGUGAGUGCGCUCCCCCAUGUGUGUUACACGGCUCCGCGACGCGUAAUUACACCCGUUAUUAAGGGAGGUUUUAUUUCUCAUUGAUCAAUUUUAAGCCGACUGAGCGCAUGUGAGGAUUAAAUACAUCCUAAUUAGGCAGAAAGGAAGGCUGAUUGCAUCAUGGUGGCGGGAGAGCUGCUUCAGGAACACGCUCGCCCCGGCAGCGCUCCCUGCGAGGCGGCUGAGGCGGACAAAGCAGAGACGCAGUACCAGGAUCUCGCGAACGGUGCGAUCCAUGUGACCGUGGCGGACGCGCCGCAGGCGGACAGGGAGCUCGAGAACGAGGCGAUGCUUCCCAGCGAGCGCAGCCAGACCCCGCAGACGAGGCUCUACUGGCGGAGGUUCGUCGUGCUGACCAUAUUCAGCUUAUACUCGCUGGUCAACGCCUUCCAGUGGAUCCAGUACAGCAUCAUCGCCAACAUCUUCAUGCACUACUACAGCGUGUCGAGCGUGAUGGUCGACUGGCUCUCCGUGGUCUACAUGGUGGCCUAUGUGCCCCUCAUCUUCCCCGCCACCUGGCUGCUGGACAGAAAGGGGCUGAGGGUGACGGCGCUGCUGGGCGCCGGCUUGAACUGCGUGGGCGCAUGGCUGAAGUGCGCCAGCGUUGGGCCCCACCUCUUCUGGGUCACCAUGGUGGCCCAGAUCGUCUGCUCCGUGGCCCAGGUCUUCAUCCUCGGCCUGCCGUCCAGGAUCGCGUCAGUGUGGUUCGGACCCAAAGAGGUUUCCACCGCCUGUGCCACGGCAGUGCUGGGUAACCAGCUGGGUGUUGCCAUAGGGUUCCUUCUGCCCCCUGUGCUGGUUCCGAACACGCCAGAUAAAGAACUCAUGGGCCGCAACAUAAGCAUCAUGUUUUAUGGAACAGCAGCCGUCUCAACCCUGCUUUUCAUCUUAACAGUCAUAGUCAUUCAGGACAGACCUCCACUGCCACCCAGUCAGGCUCAAGCCGUUCUGCCCACGGGCCCAGCGGAAGACUAUUCGUACAAGAAGUCCAUCAUCAAUCUAUUCAGGAACAAGCCCUUCCUGUUGCUCCUUAUCAGCUAUGGCAUCAUGACGGGGUCUUUCUAUUCAGUGUCCACACUCCUCAAUCAAAUGAUAAUUACCCAUCAUCCAGGGGAGGAGUUGAACACUGGUAGAAUUGGUCUAACCCUGGUGGUGGCUGGAAUGGUGGGCUCCAUCCUCUGUGGCCUGUGGCUGGAUCACACCAAAACAUAUAAAAUGACAACGCUGAUCGUGUAUGUCCUCUCCUUUAUUGGAAUGCUGGUGUUCACGUUCACUCUGGACUUGCAGCAGCUUCUUGUGGUUUUCUUCACUGCUGGAGUGCUGGGGUUCUUCAUGACUGGAUAUCUGCCCAUUGGCUUUGAAUUUGGUGUUGAAAUAACAUAUCCCGAGUCUGAGGGCACUUCAUCUGGUCUUCUCAAUGCGUUCGCUCAGGUGUUUGGAAUCAUUUUCACUUUCAUCCAAGGAAUGCUCACCACAGACUACAACCCACAGGCUGGAAACAUCUUCAUAUGUGCCUGGAUAUUCCUUGGCAUCAUUCUAACAGCACUAAUAAAGUCAGAGCUGAAAAGACAUGGAGCCAAUAUGGGCAAUAGCAAAGGUCAAAUGGUUCCUACCGAGUGCCCUUCAGAGAAGAUAUCCAAUGGUGUAAAGCUGGGGUCCUCCUCAAGUUUGUCUCACGAGACCUCACUGUAAGCCCGCUGAGACGCCAGUGACUGUGCAGCUCUCGCCACCAUCACAAGCUUCCUGAGGGAGGGAAAUUCAGUUUUGUCCUGAUAUGGGCCCUUUAAUACUUCUGCUCAAUCGUGACGGACCCUGGACUUUAGGAAGUGUCUACAUGGUGAAAUACGGAAGGCACUGGUUUGGAGCAGGACAACAAGCACAAAUCACUCUGUGUCCACGGCGUGUGACCAUCUGUGGAUCUGGUGAGACAUUCCAAAGCUGUGAUUUUUGAGUCCUGGCCAAAUUUGAUUUCUUUACCUCAGAGGUGUUUAGUGGUAGCAGGAGCCAAUGACAGAAAACUUUUAUAAAAGUUUCUUAUUCCUUUAUUUUUUUUUAUCUACAUUUUGUAUUUUAGACAACUGUUUGUUCAUGUUAAUUUAAUGGCUUUUUAUUUAUUAGUCUAAUUUGUUUGCCUGAAUUAGGACACUGAUAUGCGGACCCGCCGUUCUGACAUUUUGUACAUCAGCAGUAUUUAAACCAGCAUAAUGUCAGUUUGUUCCGUCACCUCGAGCUGUGACGUUUCAUGUUUUCAUCAUCAGAACUUGUUGCUGAAUGUAUGUGUUUUGCUCAAUAUGACAUUCAUGAUCCAAUAUACCUGCAUUUUAUCCCUGAAAUUAAACGGCAAUAGUCUGUUUCUGUCUUUCGGUCUUCAUUAAUAAAGAAAACAAACUUC